GAAAACGGGUGGUAAUGCCGGAUGUUCCAGUUGAUCGCAUGGUCUUCUGGGAAAGCUUUCGCGGUAUGGGAUGGGGUCGCGUCCUAUCAGCUUGACGGCGGGGUAACGGCCCACCGUGGCUUCGACGGGUAGCCGGCCUGAGAGGGCGACCGGCCACAUUGGGACUGAGAUACGGCCCAGACUCCUACGGGAGGCAGCAGUGGGGAAUAUUGCACAAUGGGCGCAAGCCUGAUGCAGCGACGCCGCGUGAGGGAUGGAGGCCUUCGGGUUGUAAACCUCUUUUAUCGGGGAGCAAGCGUGAGUGAGUUUACCCGUUGAAUAAGCACCGGCUAACUACGUGCCAGCAGCCGCGGUAAUACGUAGGGUGCAAGCGUUAUCCGGAAUUAUUGGGCGUAAAGGGCUCGUAGGCGGUUCGUCGCGUCCGGUGUGAAAGUCCAUCGCUUAACGGUGGAUCCGCGCCGGGUACGGGCGGGCUUGAGUGCGGUAGGGGAGACUGGAAUUCCCGGUGUAACGGUGGAAUGUGUAGAUAUCGGGAAGAACACCA
rnacentral:rRNA from 1 species